rfam:Heterocephalus glaber contig62799, whole genome shotgun sequence.
GGAUGUAAGGGUGAUCUGGCUUCGACAUCUAUCACCCCACUGAUCUCUAGGGUUGACUUGGCUGAUCUGGCUGGUUAGGUGGGUGUCCCCUUCCUCCCUCGCCACUCCAUGUGUGUCCCUCCUGAAGCUGCGUGCUCCAUCAAAGAGGAUGACCACACCCGAUGGAAGAGGACUGUUUCCUCCAUCAAGGGUGUAAGAGCAGCUGCACUCCCCUGCUAGUACCUCCAAACAAGCUCUCAAAAAAUAAGAAGGGGCUGGGGAUGUAGUUCAGUUUAAAGGCCCU